rnacentral:rRNA from 1 species
UAAUUGAAGAGUUUGAUCAUGGCUCAGAUUGAACGCUGGCGGCAGGCCUAACACAUGCAAGUCGAGCGGCAGCGGGAAGUAGCUUGCUACUUUGCCGGCGAGCGGCGGACGGGUGAGUAAUGUCUGGGAAACUGCCUGAUGGAGGGGGAUAACUACUGGAAACGGUAGCUAAUACCGCAUGACCUCGAAAGAGCAAAGU